AGAGUUUGAUCCUGGCUCAGGAUGAACGCUAGCGACAGGCUUAACACAUGCAAGUCGAGGGCAGCAUAAAAGUAGCAAUACUUGGUGGCGACCGGCGCACGGGUGAGUAACGCGUAUGCAACCUACCUAUCAGAGGGGAAUAACCCGGCGAAAGUCGGACUAAUACCGCAUAAAACAGGGACACCGCAUGGUGAUAUUUGUUAAAGAAAUUCGCUGAUAGAUGGGCAUGCGUUCCAUUAGGUAGUUGGUGAGGUAACGGCUCACCAAGCCGACGAUGGAUAGGGGAACUGAGAGGUUGGUCCCCCACACUGGUACUGAGACACGGACCAGACUCCUACGGGAGGCAGCAGUGAGGAAUAUUGGUCAAUGGGCGAGAGCCUGAACCAGCCAAGUCCGCGUGAAGGAAGAAGGAUCUAUGGUUCGUAAACUUCUUUUGCAGGGGAAUAAAGUGCAGGACGUGUCCUGUUUUGUAUGUACCCUGAGAAUAAGGAUCGGCUAACUCCGUGCCAGCCGCCGC
rnacentral:rRNA from 1 species